UACGUAGGUGGCAAGCGUUGUCCGGAUUUACUGGGCGUAAAGAGCGCGCAGGCGGUCGAAUAAGUCGAAUGUGAAAGCACCCGGCUCAACUGGGGAGGGUCAUUCGAUACUGCUCGACUUGAAGGCAGGAGAGGGUAGUGGAAUUCCCGGUGUAGUGGUGAAAUGCGUAGAUAUCGGGAGGAACACCAGUGGCGAAGGCGGGUUGCUGGGCUGACACUGACGCUGAUGCGCGAAAGCCAGGGGAGCGAACGGG
rnacentral:rRNA from 1 species